rnacentral:lncRNA from 1 species
AUGGGCUACCGGGUAAUCUAUGUUUCUUUCCCUUUAAUGAAGCUGCGACUGAAAGAAUGGGAGCAGGUGAAAGGGGAGAAGCAGCUGUCGGCCACAGAGGAGAAACUGAAAUUAGCUGCAGAAGAGCUGUGGAACUACAAGGCUCAUGAUCAGGAGAGGGCAGUGGCAGAGCAGAGCAAGGAGGUGGCCUACUUGAAGUGCAGACUGGAAGUCAUCCAAAGACAGAGAGGCUUCCAGAGGAAUUCAGGAGGCACAAACCAAUGGCAAGAGGACCUGACAGGGAGAUCCCUCCAUGGAGAGAACCUGGUGCAGCUUCUGUGAGGAACAAGAAUUCUGUCCCUACUAUGGGCACAGAGAAGGUCAAAGGAAAUGAUGUGACAAUUUUCAGUUGUAAGUCUCUCUCUGGAAUCUUUUGUCUCUUUAUACAGCACUCUCUCCUGGUCUUGUCUCAAGAUUGUGUGUUCUGACAUAUAUCUAUGGUGUUAUUUACUUUACAAAGAGUAAAACUCUUUCCCAAGAGCCUAUGGGCCUCUCUGUUCUUAGCUUGUUGGUCAUCUUUGGUGGUGCCUCCAGAAGUCAUAAGUGUUUAGAGGCUGAGGACCACAGGGAAGUCACUGUGUGUUUGUGGAAAUAUCAUGAGGAGGAUGACAUCUCACUGCACACUUACGUCUCCUGGCCUGGCUCACUUCUUCCAGACCUCCUUUCAUGGGAAUGUUCCUGAAAACUGAAACAGUAGUGUUGUUGUUCUUUUACUCCUUUUCUAUCCAGAGUUAGUCGCCAACCUGUUUAGAACAUCGAUUGUAAUUCUCACUAACUUUCUGAGAGGUGCGUAGCAAUUUUGAAUGCUCUUAUUCGAAGGUUAUUUUUUUCUAAAUUUCAUAAUUCAUCAGUUUUCCCAUCUCUUUUGGGAAAUGUGCUUUUGCAGAGUCAUUGCAGCUGUUCAGUUAGUAAAAAUAUUGUGAAUUAUCAGGGAAGACACAUUUGCAGUAGAAAAUGUACACUGGAACUGAAGGAACAGAGAGUGAAAGUCAGGUCUGAUGUGCCAGUUUCCGGAAAAGAGCUGAAGCCAUGUUCAUGUAACCAGGUUCUUUUAUGGCCUCUGUAGCUGUUAUAGCUGGCAUCUUCUAUUCAUACCUUAACUGUCUUUUCCAUUUUGAUAUCAGAACAUAUUCAUUUUAAUUCUGUCAUUUCAAAUUCCAAAAUAUUUUUCCAUGGGAAAAAAUGAGUCUGUGUGUCACAGUGUAUGUAAAAAUUCGGCAUUACCUGUGAAUUCACAUAUUAUCUAUAACUUUUCCUAACUAACUCCUGUAGGUGGCACUGU